AAAAUGGCGACUGUGUUUGACAACGUGCUCCUCGCAAGUUGGAGCGAAAAUGGACAGUUCGACUGCACAUCGGAGGUCCCCCAUCGAAUGGAAAUAUCACGGCAAACUGAAAGUUUAGCGUUAUCAUUUUACAAUGGCCAGGUAGAAGCAUCCACAGUGCCCAUCAACAAAGACACCGAGUUUUCUCGGUUGGGGAAGCUGGGAAUUACUGUCACUAAUGAUCAGACAUCACUCCUCAUCCGAUUCUCCAGUAUACACACAAUGAAGGCCUGCCUACAUAAACUAAAUGAAUACAAGAAUGGGACCAAAUCUGCAUUUAACGACAGAACAGAUGAAGCAUCAGCUGUCCAGUACUUCCAGUUCUACGGAUACCUGUCCCAGCAGCAGAACAUGAUGCAGGACUACAUCCGCACCUCCACCUACCAGAGAGCCAUGCUGGCCAACAUCGCAGACUUCCAGGACAAGGUUAUUCUGGAUGUUGGUGCUGGGUCAGGAAUUCUGUCAUUUUUCGCUAUCCAGGGCGGUGCUAAGAAAGUGUAUGCCAUUGAGGCUAGCAGUAUGGCCCAACACUGUGAGACCCUGGUAGCGACCAACAACUUGUCCAAUCGUAUAAUUGUUAUCCCUGGCAAAGUUGAGGAAGUGGAGGUGCCGGAGCAAGUGGACCUGAUCAUCUCUGAGCCCAUGGGAUACAUGCUGUUUAAUGAGAGGAUGCUGGAGAGCUUUCUGCAUGCCAAGAAGUGGUUGAGGCCGGGAGGAAAAAUGUACCCAUCACAAGGAGACCUACAUAUAGCACCAUUCACAGAUGAAUCGCUCUACAUGGAACAAUAUUCAAAAGCGAAUUUCUGGUAUCAAGAGUCAUUCCAUGGUGUGAACCUUACAAGUUUACGAAAUGCUUCAGUAGAAGAAUAUUUUAAACAGCCUAUUGUUGAUACAUUUGACAUCCAUAUAUGCAUGGCCAAGUCCAACAAGUACGUUGUGGACUUCCAGACAGCGGACGAGAAUGACCUUCACGUGAUGGAGAUUCCUGUUACCUUCAGUAUGAUGUCUUCAGGGAUGGUCCAUGGGUUGGCCUUCUGGUUUGAUGUGGCAUUCUUCGGCUCCGAGAACACUGUAUGGCUAUCGACGUCUCCGACUGAGCCCCUGACUCACUGGUACCAGGUGCGUUGUCUGGUGCAAUCCCCUGUCCUUGUCAAGCAGGGCCAAACCCUCACGGGGAAGGUGACACUCACUUGCAACACCAGGCAAAGUUAUGAUGUUGAUAUUGAACUAAACAUACCUGGGACUUCAAGCAAGUCAACCAACACACUAGAUUUAAAGAAUCCAUUCUUCCGCUACACUGGCCAGCCACCGCAGCCACCACCUGGCUGUAACUCAGCAUCUGCCACAGAUGUGUACUGGAAUUCACUCGCUACAGGCCAGACCUCCACGUACAUGAACGGCUUGAUGAAUGGCGUAGUUGACCAGGGUCAGUCCUUGCCCCAGCAGGGCGGAGCCGUACAGACAAACCUUAUAGCACGAAUGUCGUUGCCCCUAUCAACCCUGGCAGUAUUCCAAGCGUAGGGAGCCAAGUGUCCAAUUCUAACGCACACCGGACCUCCAUUGGUGGUGGUAUAAGUCCCAUCAACUUCACAAACUCUCAGAACGUGAUCAGUGGCGGGAUGGCACACUACCCCGUCAGUCAGCAGUUCAUGAUUGGCGACUAUGUUAUGCCUGGUAACGUUGUUGUGCCCACGACUACAGCAGUGGCCUCUGUAUAGUCUUCACCAGAAUCCACA
rnacentral:misc_RNA from 1 species